UGAGGAAUAUUGGACAAUGGGCGCAAGCCUGAUCCAGCCAUGCCGCGUGCAGGAAGACGGUCCUAUGGAUUGUAAACUGCUUUUAUACAGGAAGAAACACUCCCUCGUGAGGGAACUUGACGGUACUGUAUGAAUAAGCAUCGGCUAACUCCGUGCCAGCAGCCGCGGUAAUACGGAGGAUGCAAGCGUUAUCCGGAAUCAUUGGGUUUAAAGGGUCCGUAGGCGGUUUAAUAAGUCAGUGGUGAAAGCCCAUCGCUCAACGAUGGAACGGCCAUUGAUACUGUUAAACUUGAAUUAUUAGGAAGUAACUAGAAUAUGUAGUGUAGCGGUGAAAUGCUUAGAGAUUACAUGGAAUACCAAUUGCGAAGGCAGGUUACUACUAAUAUAUUGACGCUGAUGGACGAAAGCGUGGGGAGCGAACAGG
rnacentral:rRNA from 1 species